rnacentral:rRNA from 1 species
GACGAACGCUGGCGGCGUGCUUAACACAUGCAAGUCGAGCGGUAAGGCCCUUCGGGGUACACGAGCGGCGAACGGGUGAGUAACACGUGGGUGACCUGCCUCUAGCUCUGGGAUAAGCCUGGGAAACUGGGUCUAAUACCGGAUAUGACUCCACGGCGCAUGUUGUGGGGUGGAAAGCCUUGUGUGGCUAGAGAUGGGCCCGCGGCCUAUCAGCUUGUUGGUGGGGUGAUGGCCUACCAAGGCGACGACGGUAGCCGGCCUGAGAGGGCGACCGGCCACACUGGGACUGAGACACGGCCCAGACUCCUACGGGAGGCAGCAGUGGGGAAUCUUGCGCAAGUGGGCGAAAGCCUGACGCAGCGACGCCGCGUGAGGGAUGACGGCCUGG